GUAGGUGGCAAGCGUUGUCCGGGAAUUAUUGGGGGCGUAAAGCGCGCGCAGGCGGUUCUUUAAGUCUGAUGUGAAAGCCCACGGGCUCAACCGUGGAGGGUCAUUGGAAACUGGAGUACUUGAGUACAGAAGAGGAAAGCGGAAUUCCACGUGUAGCGGUGAAAUGCGUAGAGAUGUGGAGGAACACCAGUGGCGAAGGCGGCUUUCUGGUCUGUAACUGACGCUGAGGCGCGAAAGCGUGGGGAGCAAACAGGAUUAGAUACCCUGGUAGUCCACGCCGUAAACGAUGAGUGCUAAGUGUUAGGGGGUUUCCGCCCCUUAGUGCUGCAGCUAACGCAUUAAGCACUCCGCCUGGGGAGUACGGCCGCAAAGGCUGA
rnacentral:rRNA from 1 species